UACGUAGGUGACAAGCGUUGUCCGGAUUUACUGGGCGUAAAGAGCGCGCAGGCGGUCGUUCAAGUCGAGUGUGAAAUCCCCCGGCUCAACUGGGGAGGGUCACUCGAUACUGAUCGACUCGAAGGCAGGAGAGGGAAGUGGAAUUCCCGGUGUAGUGGUGAAAUGCGUAGAUAUCGGGAGGAACACCAGUGGCGAAGGCGACUUCCUGGCCUGUUCUUGACGCUGAGGCGCGAAAGCUAGGGGAGCAAACGGG
rnacentral:rRNA from 1 species